ACUAUUCUCCUUUUGCUCCAUUGCCACCCUAGCACCACUGUGGCCGCCACUUUUGCGCACCACCAUAGAAAACAACCUCCUUUCUUUCUCUUUUCUUCUCUUCCUCUAAUUAUUCUUGUUUCAUUUUCUUUCUCCUUUCUUCUCUUCCUCUAAUUCUUCUUGUUCCCUUUUCUUUCUCCCCUUAUUUCUUCUUUUGUCGUAACCUUCUUUUUCUUCUCCUCCUUCAUCGAGUCCUCGUCGAGCCACU
rnacentral:lncRNA from 1 species